GAAGAGAUGGCCCAGUGGUUAAGAGCACUGACUGAUCUUCCAGAAGCCCCGGGUUCAAUUCCCAGCACCUACA
rnacentral:tRNA from 1 species